rnacentral:rRNA from 1 species
GAUGAACGCUGGCGGCGUGCCUAAUACAUGCAAGUCGAGCGAACAGACGAGGAGCUUGCUCCUCUGACGUUAGCGGCGGACGGGUGAGUAACACGUGGAUAACCUACCUAUAAGACUGGGAUAACUUCGGGAAACCGGAGCUAAUACCGGAUAAUAUAUUGAACCGCAUGGUUCAAUAGUGAAAGACGGUUUUGCUGUCACUUAUAGAUGGAUCCGCGCCGCAUUGGCUAGUUGGUAAGGUAACGGCUUACCAAGGCGACGAUGCGUAGCCGACCUGAGAGGGUGAUCGGCCACACUGGAACGUAGACACGGUCCAGACGCCUACGGGAGGCAGCAGUAGGGAACCUUCCGCAAUGGGCGAAAGCCUGACGGAGCAACGCCGCGUGAGUUAUGAAGGUCUUCGGAUCGUAAAACUCUGUUAUUAGGGAAGAACAAAUGUGUAAGUAACUAUGCACGUCUUGACGGUACCUAAUCAGAAAGCCACGGCUAACUACGUG